UAAUACGGAGGGUGCAAGCGUUAUCCGGAUUCACUGGGUUUAAAGGGUGCGUAGGAGGGCAGGGAAGUCCGUGGUGAAAUCCUAGAGCUUAACUCUAGAACUGCCGUGGAUACUCUCUGUCUUGAAUCCCGUGGAGAUGAGCGGAAUAUGUCAUGUAGCGGUGAAAUGCUUAGAUAUGACAUAGAACACCAAUUGCGAAGGCAGCUCGUUACACGAAGAUUGACUCUGAGGCACGAAAGCGUGGGGAUCAAACAGGA
rnacentral:rRNA from 1 species